CUUCGAUUUAGGGACCUGGAAUCUGGAUCUGGACUUCGGCUUGAUCUGCUACACGGCGUUGCCUCCUCUUUCAUUUCACUUUCGAGAAUCAUUUGGUCAUAUCUAGUGUUAGAUCCACCGCCCAUCCAUCCGGGUGUGUCGACAACGCAAGGCUGUGCUACUGUACUUUGGCAUUUUAAACUUAGUUGGCGAUGCUUCAAGAAGUUUCUGGAUCCGCCAAUGGUCAUCUUAAACCCUAAUUUGGGUUUAGAAGUUUCAACUCAGCUACGAUUGUCGAUGAACAACAAUUCAUUGCGAAGCGAGGGCACAAAUCUACAUGUAGGUUGCAAGGAACGGCUGUAGACAAUGUCAAUUAACCGGGUACGAGAGCAAUGCUCUUUCAGAAUCUUCACGGCAUGGUCAACGGCAUAUAUUAUCAUCUUCUUCACCUGCACCCAACAAGAGGUAAUAUUGUUAGU